GGGGAAAGGUUCCGAUAUACAUGCAGUCGUACGAACUCUGCGUAUUGAUUGGUGCUUGCAUCAUGAUUUACAUUUGAGUGAGUGGCGAACUGGUGAGUAACACGUGGGAAACCUGCCCAGAAGCGGGGGAUAACACCUGGAAACAGAUGCUAAUACCGCAUAACAACUUGGACCGCAUGGUCCGAGCUUGAAAGAUGGCUUCGGCUAUCACUUUUGGAUGGUCCCGCGGCGUAUUAGCUAGAUGGUGGGGUAACGGCUCACCAUGGCAAUGAUACGUAGCCGACCUGAGAGGGUAAUCGGCCACAUUGGGACUGAGACACGGCCCAAACUCCUACGGGAGGCAGCAGUAGGGAAUCUUCCACAAUGGACGAAAGUCUGAUGGAGCAACGCCGCGUGAGUGAAGAAGGGUUUCGGCUCGUAAAACUCUGUUGUUAAAGAAGAACAUAUCUGAGAGUAACUGUUCAGGUAUUGACGGUAUUUAACCAGAAAGCCACGGCUAACUACGUGCCAGCAGCCGCGGUAAUACGUAGGUGGCAAGCGUUGUCCGGAUUUAUUGGGCGUAAAGCGAGCGCAGGCGGUUUUUUAAGUCUGAUGUGAAAGCCUUCGGCUCAACCGAAGAAGUGCAUCGGAAACUGGGAAACUUGAGUGCAGAAGAGGACAGUGGAACUCCAUGUGUAGCGGUGAAAUGCGUAGAUAUAUGGAAGAACACCAGUGGCGAAGGCGGCUGUCUGGUCUGUAACUGACGCUGAGGCUCGAAAGUAUGGGUAGCAAACAGGAUUAGAUACCCUGGUAGUCCAUACCGUAAACGAUGAAUGCUAAGUGUUGGAGGGUUUCCGCCCUUCAGUGCUGCAGCUAACGCAUUAAGCAUUCCGCCUGGGGAGUACGGCCGCAAGGCUGAAACUCAAAGGAAUUGACGGGGGCCCGCACAAGCGGUGGAGCAUGUGGUUUAAUUCGAAGCUACGCGAAGAACCUUACCAGGGCUUGGCUUACUAUGCAAAUCUAAGAAAUUAAACGUUCCCUUUCGGGACAUGGAUACCAGGUGGGGCAAGGGUUUCCUCCACCUCUGGCCCGGAAAAUUUUGGGUUAAAUCCCCCCAAAAAGGGCAACCCUUUAUAUAAAGGUGGCCAGCCUUAAAUUGGGGCACUCCGGGGGAAAAUUGCCGGGGACAAAACCCGAGAAGAAGGGGGGGGAGAACCCGCCACAACUCUUUGGCCCCUUUAAAACGGGGGGCAAAACCAGGGUGCAAAAAAGGGGAGGGACAAAAUAUUUGGGAACUCCUCGGAGAAAAGGGAUAUUCUAUUAAACCUCUCUCUCUUUUUCGGGAUUGGAGAGCCGCCCUCCCCACCCAGAAAUAUGAAUAGAUGUCUAUAAUGCCGGAUACAAAUGACGCCGGGAGAUAGAAUUUACCCUGGGUUAUGACACAACCACCGUCUCAACGG
rnacentral:rRNA from 1 species